rnacentral:rRNA from 1 species
UACAGAGGUGGCAAGCGUUGUUCGGAAUUACUGGGCGUAAAGGGCGCGUAGGCGGUUCGAUAAGUCCCGUGUGAAAUCCCUCGGCUCAACUGAGGAACUGCACGGGAAACUGACGGGCUUGAGUUCGGGAGAGGGAAGCGGAAUUCCGGGUGUAGCGGUGAAAUGCGUAGAUAUCCGGAGGAACACCAGUGGCGAAGGCGGCUGACUGGUCCGGUUCUGACGCUGAGGCGCGAAAGCGUGGGGGAGCAAACAGG